rnacentral:rRNA from 1 species
AGGACGAACGCUGGCGGCGUGCUUAACACAUGCAAGUCGAGCGGAAAGGCCCUUUCGGGGGUACUCGAGCGGCGAACGGGUGAGUAACACGUGAGUAAUCUGCCCUUCACUCUGGGAUAGCCACCGGAAACGGUGAUUAAUACCGGAUAUGACAUGCUCCUGCAUGGGAUGUGUGUGGUAAACGUUUUUGGGUGGGGGAUGUGCUCGCGGCCUAUCGAGUCGUUGUUGGUGGGUAAUCGGCCUACCGAAGGCGUUCGGACGGGUAGCCGGCCUGGACGGAGGGUCGACCGGCCACGCGUGGACUGAGCACCGCCAGACC